CAUACUUGGGCAUUUGCUCCAAGGCUUCGGCAAACGGAAUGUUUAUUUGUAAUUGUUUAAAAAUAUCCAUGAACCGGGCGUAAUGCCGUUCAUUCUCUCUUUUGGACGGGGCAUGAGGAUAAGGUAGGUUUUGGAUUGGAGUAGUGCUCACUACCUCCUUUCCCUUUGCAACUCUAGCACUCCUUCAUCUAGGCUUUUUCACUUCCUCCCCCCUUACUUCAUCAAUUGUAUUUUUCUCAAUCUCCACACUUUUUUUCUUUUCAACUUCACCAUUCUUUUCGUUAUUUUCAACUUCUUCCUCCUUACUCCACUCCCCUACUUCACCAUCAACAUUUUCCUCCAAUAUUUCCUCCUCAUUUUCUUUCUUUUUCUCUCUUUGUUCACUCUCAACUCUUUUGUUAUUCUCACUCAUAAACUCCUUCCCACUUCUCGUUCUGACCGCCUUACAAUGCUCCUUAGGAUUUGUUUGCGUAUUUGCCGAAAAGGAAGGACCGGUUUGUUGUUCCGCGAGUUGCUUAGCAAGUUG
rnacentral:lncRNA from 1 species